GACUGAGAGCCAUCUUCUGACAGAAC
rnacentral:piRNA from 1 species